GAGAGAGAGACAUGCGCGCAUAUCAAUAAGCGGAGGAAAAGAAACUAACAAGGAUUCCCUUAGUAACGGCGAGUGAAGCGGGAAGAGCUCAAAUUUGAAAUCUUCAAGGUUUUACCUUGACGAAUUGUAGUUUAAAGAAGUGUUUUCUGCUGGAGUUUUGGUAAAAGUUCUUUGGAAUAGGACAUCAUAGAGGGUGAGAAUCCCGUAUUUGACCAUUAUUUCAGCUUUGUGAUACACUUUCAAAGAGUCGGAUUGUUUGGGAAUGCAGUCCAAAAUGGGUGGUAAAUUUCAUCUAAAGCUAAAUAUUGGCGAGAGACCGAUAGCGAACAAGUACCGUGAGGGAAAGAUGAUAAGAACUUUGAAAAGAGAGUUAAACAGUACGUGAAAUUGUCAAAAGGGAAGCGUUUGACACCAGUGUUGUUUUCUCGAAAAUCAAUUAAAAAUGGCUCGAUUUUGUAUUGUUGAGACCUUAAAAGCUCACUGUACAUUUUUCGUGUCUUUUUUAAUGCACUUUUCGUUUAACAAGUCAACAUCAGUUUCUUUUGUUGUAAAAGGGUCAUUGGAAGGUGGCUUUCUUUUCGGAGAAAGUGUUUAUAGCCUUUGGCCUCUGCAAUCGGAGAGACUGAGGUCUGCAGCGUAGACUCUUCGGGGUUAGAUACAUUUGUGCUAAGUUAUAGCUUUUUAUAGACAACUUGUUGACUAUAAUUAGUCUUGUAGCUUACUCGCUUAUGCUAUUUUACCUACGCUUAGGAUGUUGAGUCGUAGAGCACGCAG
rnacentral:rRNA from 1 species